rnacentral:rRNA from 1 species
UACAUGGGGUGCAAACGUUGCUCGGAAUUAUUGGGCGUAAAGCGCGCGUAGGCGGUUACUCAAGUCGGAUGUGAAAGCCCUCGGCUUAACUGAGGAAGUGCACCCGAAACUGAGUAGCUAGAGUACGAAAGAGGGUCGCGGAAUUCCCGGUGUAGAGGUGAAAUUCGUAGAUAUCGGGAGGAACACCGGUGGCGAAGGCGGCGACCUGGGUCGAUACUGACGCUGAGGCGCGAAAGCGUGGGGAGCAAACAGGAUUAGAAACCCCUGUAGUCC